GUUUGUUCCCGGCAACAUGAUUGCGGACGGGAACAAGGCCGGUUUGCCAUCUGGCGAGCUCCGUGAAACGAUGCUGCGGAGGUGGCGGAUAUGGUAUUCGGGGUUCGUUUCGAUGCCCUUGUCAUCCCGGCAUCGUUCAUUUACCUUGACGU
rnacentral:sRNA from 1 species